AGGGCGCACGGUGGAUGCCUUGGCACUAGAAGCCGAUGAAGGACGUGACUAACGACGAAAUGCUUUGGGGAGCUGUAAGUGAGCAAUGAUCCAGAGAUGUCCGAAUGGGGGAACCCGGCAGGUAAUGCCUGUCACUCAUUACUGUUAAGGUAAUGUAGAGGAAGACGCAGUGAACUGAAACAUCUAAGUAGCUGUAGGAAGAGAAAGCAAAAGCGAUUGCCUUAGUAGCGGCGAGCGAAACGGCAAGAGGGCAAACCGAAGAGUUUACUCUUCGGGGUUGUAGGACUGCAACGUGGACUUAAAGAUUAUAGAAGAACUACCUGGGAAGGUAGGCCAAAGAGAGUAAUAGCCUCGUAUUCGAAAUAGUCUUUAUACCUAGCAGUAUCCUGAGUACGGCGAGACACGAGAAAUCUCGUCGGAAUCUGGGAGGACCAUCUCCCAACCCUAAAUACUCUCUAGUGACCGAUAGUGAACCAGUACCGUGAGGGAAAGGUGAAAAGCACCCCGGGAGGGGAGUGAAAUAGAACCUGAAACCGUGUGCCUACAACAAGUUCGAGCCCGUUAAUGGGUGAGAGCGUGCCUUUUGUAGAAUGAACCGGCGAGUUACGAUAUGAUGCGAGGUUAAGUUGAAGAGACGGAGCCGUAGGGAAACCGAGUCUUAAUAGGGCGCAUUAGUAUCAUGUCGUAGACCCGAAACCAUGUGACCUACCCAUGAGCAGGUUGAAGGUGAGGUAAAACUCACUGGAGGACCGAACCAGGGCACGUUGAAAAGUGCUUGGAUGACUUGUGGGUAGCGGAGAAAUUCCAAACGAACUUGGAGAUAGCUGGUUCUCUCCGAAAUAGCUUUAGGGCUAGCGUCGAUGUUAAGUCUCUUGGAGGUAGAGCACUGUUUGGGUGAGGGGUCCAUCCCGGAUUACCAAUCUCAGAUAAACUCCGAAUGCCAAUGAGAUAUAAUCGGCAGUCAGACUGCGAGUGCUAAGAUCCGUAGUCGAAAGGGAAACAGCCCAGACCACCAGCUAAGGUCCCAAAAUAUAUGUUAAGUGGAAAAGGAUGUGGGGUUGCACAGACAACUAGGAUGUUAGCUUAGAAGCAGCUAUUCAUUCAAAGAGUGCGUAAUAGCUCACUAGUCGAGUGACCCUGCGCCGAAAAUGUACCGGGGCUAAAACAUAUUACCGAAGCUGUGGAUACCUUUAUAGGUAUGGUAGGAGAGCGUUCUAUGUGCGAAGAAGGUGUACCGUGAGGAGUGCUGGAGCGCAUAGAAGUGAGAAUGCCGGUAUGAGUAGCGAAAGACAGGUGAGAAUCCUGUCCACCGUAAGACUAAGGUUUCCAGGGGAAGGCUCGUCCGCCCUGGGUUAGUCGGGACCUAAGGAGAGACCGAAAGGUGUAUCCGAUGGACAACAGGUUGAUAUUCCUGUACUAGAGUAUAUAGUGAUGGAGGGACGCAGUAGGCUAACUAAACCAGACGAUUGGAAGUGUCUGGCCAAGCAGUGAGGUGUGAUAUGAGUCAAAUGCUUAUAUCUUUAACAUUGAGCUGUGAUGGGGAGCGAAGUUUAGUAGCGAAGUUAGUGAUGUCACACUGCCGAGAAAAGCUUCUAGCGUUAAUUAUACUCUACCCGUACCGCAAACCGACACAGGUAGUCGAGGCGAGUAGCCUCAGGUGAGCGAGAGAACUCUCGUUAAGGAACUCGGCAAAAUGGCCCCGUAACUUCGGGAGAAGGGGCGCUGACUGAUGGUCAGCCGCAGUGAAUAGGCCCAAGCAACUGUUUAUCAAAAACACAGCUCUCUGCUAAAUCGUAAGAUGAUGUAUAGGGGGUGACGCCUGCCCGGUGCUGGAAGGUUAAGAGGAGUGCUUAGCGUAAGCGAAGGCAUGAAUUGAAGCCCCAGUAAACGGCGGCCGUAACUAUAACGGUCCUAAGGUAGCGAAAUUCCUUGUCGGGUAAGUUCCGACCCGCACGAAAGGCGUAAUGAUUUGGGCACUGUCUCAACGAGAGACUCGGUGAAAUUUUAGUACCUGUGAAGAUGCAGGUUACCCGCGACAGGACGGAAAGACCCCAUGGAGCUUUACUGCAGUUUGAUAUUGAGUAUCUGUACCACAUGUACAGGAUAGGUAGGAGCCUAUGACCUCGGGACGCCAGUUUCGAGUGAGGCGUUGUUGGGAUACUACCCUUGUGUUAUGGCUACUCUAACCCAGAUAGGUUAUCCCUAUCGGAGACAGUGUCUGACGGGCAGUUUGACUGGGGCGGUCGCCUCCUAAAAGGUAACGGAGGCGCCCAAAGGUUCCCUCAGAAUGGUUGGAAAUCAUUCGCAGAGUGUAAAGGUAUAAGGGAGCUUGACUGCGAGAGUUACAACUCGAGCAGGGACGAAAGUCGGGCUUAGUGAUCCGGUGGUUCCGUAUGGAAGGGCCAUCGCUCAACGGAUAAAAGCUACCCUGGGGAUAACAGGCUUAUCUCCCCCAAGAGUUCACAUCGACGGGGAGGUUUGGCACCUCGAUGUCGGCUCGUCGCAUCCUGGGGCUGUAGUAGGUCCCAAGGGUUGGGCUGUUCGCCCAUUAAAGCGGCACGCGAGCUGGGUUCAGAACGUCGUGAGACAGUUCGGUCCCUAUCCGUCGCGGGCGUAGGAAAUUUGAGAGGAUCUGCUCCUAGUACGAGAGGACCAGAGUGGACUUACCGCUGGUGUACCAGUUGUUCUGCCAAGAGCAUCGCUGGGUAGCUAUGUAGGGAAGGGAUAAACGCUGAAAGCAUCUAAGUGUGAAGCCCACCUCAAGAUGAGAUUUCCCAUGAUUUU
rnacentral:rRNA from 1 species